AGUAAGCUGAGCAGCUGCGGGUGCAAUUCCGAAAGGAAGCAUCUGAGGAAAGUCCGGGCUUCUUCGGGCGGAAUAACGGCUAACGGCCGCCGGGGGCGACCCCAGGGAAAGUGCAACAGAAAGAAACCGCCGGCUUCUGCCGGUAAGGAUGGAAAGGCGAGGUAAGAGCUCACCGGCAUGCGGGAGACCGCAUGGCCCUGUAAACCCUAUUCGAAGCAACACCGUGGAGGGACAAUCCGUUGCCCGACGGGUCCCGCGGAGGUGGCGUGAGCCUGCCGGCAACGGCAGGCCAAGAUAGAUGGCUGCUUUUAACAAGACCCGGCUUACAGGCUUAGUC
rnacentral:RNase_P_RNA from 1 species